AGUAACGGCGAGUGAAGCGGGAAAAGCUCAAAUUUAAAAUCUGGUGGCCUUUGGCCAUCCGAGUUGUAAUUUAGAGAAGCGUCUUCCGCGCUGGACCGUGCACAAGUCUCCUGGAAUGGAGCGUCAUAGAGGGUGAGAAUCCCGUCUUUGGCACGGACUCCCGGUGCUUUGCGAUGCGCUCUCGACGAGUCGAGUUGUUUGGGA
rnacentral:rRNA from 1 species